UACGUAGGGUGCAAGCGUUGUCCGGAAUUAUUGGGCGUAAAGAGCUCGUAGGCGGUUUGUCGCGUCUGCUGUGAAAACUGGAGGCUCAACCUCCAGCCUGCAGUGGGUACGGGCAGACUAGAGUGCGGUAGGGGAGAUUGGAAUUCCUGGUGUAGCGGUGGAAUGCGCAGAUAUCAGGAGGAACACCGGUGGCGAAGGCGGGUCUCUGGGCAACUACUGACGCUGAGGAGCGAAAGCGUGGGGAGCGAACAGG
rnacentral:rRNA from 1 species